CAGAAACAUAAUAUUAAAUGCGAAUGUUCGAAGCCCGGGUGUGCCAGUUGCUUCGUGAGUAGACCCCAGAAAAGAGAAGAUAGCGGAAAUUAAAAACGUUUCAUUAAAAACCGCUGCAUAUGUCGCUCAAAUCGCGACUUUGGUCGAGACGAAUUCAGGCAGGCUGGAAAAUAUAACAACUACGACGCUGAACAGAACGGCCACUGGGAUCAGGAUGACAAGAUAAUGAUUCUGAAUGAUUAAAAGAAUGCAAUAAAAAUUAAAG